UGGUUCCUGUAAAAGAAACUCUUGUUCACUUUCACAUUAAGAUGGGAUAUUUUUUAGCUCUGAAGACGUUUAGCCAGUAAUUCAACAAAUCAAAUGCUCACUGCUCACACUGCAGGCAUGAAGUUUGUGAUCCUGUUUGCUCUUUUGAGCGGGGCUUUUGCCGCACAGUUCAUGAAGGAAGAGCAGGCAAAGCGAUUAUUCAGGCUGAAGAGACAGUCAGGAUACUGGGAUCCGCACCACUCUCACAACCAAUGGGGUUACAUGGUUCAGGA